rnacentral:rRNA from 1 species
UACGUAGGGGGCUAGCGUUGUCCGGAUUUAUUGGGCGUAAAGAGCGUGUAGGCGGCCAUGUAGGUCCGGUGUGAAAACUCGAGGCUUAACCUCGAGAUGUCAUCGGAAACCAUUUGGCUAGAGUCCGGAAGAGGAGAGUGGAAUUCCUGGUGUAGCGGUGAAAUGCGCAGAUAUCAGGAAGAACACCGGUGGCGAAGGCGGGGUCUCUGGGCAGUAACUGACGCUGAGGAGCGAAAGCGUGGGGAGCAAACAGG